rnacentral:rRNA from 1 species
CCUGUUAAGGUUAGGAGAAUGAAGACGCAGGGAACUGAAACAUCUAAGUAGCGGCAGGAAGAGAAAGCAAACGCGAUUGCCUUAGGAGCGGCGAGCGAAACGGCAGGAGGGCAAACCGAAGUGUUUACACGUCGGGGUUGUAGGACUGCGACGUGGGACUUUAAAAGGAUAGAAGAAUUACCUGGGAAGGUAAGCCAAAGGGAGUAAAAGCCUCGUAUUUAAAAUUCUUUUGAGCCCUAGCAGUAUCCUGAGGACGGCGAGACACGUGAAAUCUCGUUGGAAUCUGGGAGGACCAUCUCCCAACCCUAAAUACGCUCUAGUGACCGAUAGUGAACCAGUACCGUGAGGGAAAGGUGAAAAGAACCCCGGGAGGGGAGUGAAAUAGAACCUGAAACCGUGUGCCUACAACAAGUGCGAGCCCGUUAAUGGGUGAGAGCGUGCCUUUUGUAGAAUGAACCGGCGAGUUACGAUAUGAUGCGAGGGUAAGUUGAAGAGACGGAGCCGUAGGGAAACCGAGGCUUAAUAGGGCGAUUUAGUAUCAUGUUGUAGACCCGAAACCAUGUGACCUACCCAUGAGCCGGUUGAAGGUGAGGUAA